ensembl:lncRNA
CUUUUUAAAAACUAUUCCUAAAAACUUUUUUUUAGUGUGAGUAGAUUUGGUCUUCUAAUUUUGGAAUCUAUGUAGUUGAUGCUAAUAAGGAAAAGCUAUUCUAUCCAGCUGACUAAUCAAUGGUACUUUGUUUUAAAAUAAGAUUUCUUUCGUUUUCUAGGUAAAAGGGAGAAAAUAUAAUUGUAAUUUUGUCAUCGUUCAGUCGCUAAGCCAUGUCUGACUCUUUCCAACCCCAUGGACUGCAGCACACCAGGCUUCCCUGCCCUCCACUAUCUCCUGGAGUUUGCUCAAGUUUAUGUCCAUUGAGUUGGUGAUGCUCUCUAUCUCACCUCUGCCAUUCUCUUCUCCUUUUGCCUUCAAAAUUGCCUUAAAAUUGUAAUUUUAAUACACAUAAAUGUUUAUUUAGAGGAAAUUAACAGCCAUCUGUUUCAUUUCUUUUUUUUUGUUUGUUUCAUUUCUAAUACCAUUUUGAAUUUGUUUUCUGACAAAGUGGAGGAAACCUCCCGUUUCACAACCGCUGCUAAGGUCUGCAACCUUCCAUUCAGUUCCUCGGUUUAUUUAUUAAUUUUUGGCUGCGCUGGGUCUUCAUCGCUGUGUUUGGGCUUUCUCUAGCUGUGGCGAGCAAGGGCUACUUUCUGUUUCCAUGUGCGGGCUUCUCAUUUCAGUGGCUUCUCUUUUUGUGGAGCCUGCACUCUAGGGCAUGUGGGCUCAGCAGUUGUGGCUCACUGGCUUAGUGGCCCUGUGGCAUGUGGGAUCUUCCUGGAUGAGGGACCAAACCUGUGUCCCCUGCAUUGGCAGGCAAAUUCUUUACCACUGGGCCACCAGGGAAGUGCAGGUGUGACAAUUUUUAUUUUACAGAAAAGGAAAUAGAAAAAUUAAGUAACUUUUUCAAGGUCACACAGCCAAUAGAGUUGAAAUUCUGAUUCAUUAAAAAAAAUGUUUCAUGGAUAUCAGAGGUUUAAUAUAUAUCAUUAUAGAGAAUAAAGUUUUAUACAUUGUUAUUUUGUGUAUUUGAGCCAUCAAAUUCUGAAAGAGUUGUAUUAAUGGGUAUUAGCAUGAUAGAUGAUUUUAUCAAGUUCCUAUAGAG